UGUUCUCCCUUUGGCAUUUCUUAUAAACCCAUGGCAAGCUUCCCUCCUACCCUGCCCUCCGCCAAGGACCAGAAAUCUGAGGUAACUUCGUGCCAGGAACUAUUUGCUAGUAAGUCAUUAGCUGCCCUCUGAUUUGAGGUCUGGAGGAAAAGUCCCAAGCACCUUUGAAAGUGUGAAACAUCUUCAACUGAGUGAAGUGCUCCUUAGCCAAAGACUUUGCUUCAGUCCAAAUACAACAAACCAUUGGAAACAGUGAGGGGAUUUCUCAGAUCUUUUUUGAAGGUGGGUUUUGACUGAGGUGAAGGGCAAGGCCCACCCUUAAUGGGGACCUGAAGGUUGGAGGAAGCUAUUGGUUUUCACCACAGCUGCUGAGACAACCACCUGGGGAGCUGUAAGAACUACCCAUUGCUGGGCCACAGAUCAAUCAGAGCCCAACUUCCGUGCUUAGGGCUGGGCACUGGUGUGUUUCUGAAGCCCUGCAGCUCAUUCGAAGGUAUCUCUUCAUAGCAGUAUGAAAAUGUACUAAUACAACAGCAUUCACACCGGGAAGUGACUAGGAACACAGAGCUUCAAGCUUUGUGAGGCACGAGGUACUGGGGCCAUGAUACCAAGUGGCCUCCUGGAAGCCCUGGCAAGGAGUCCCAGGUGAUGUUCAGCAGCAAAAUGAGUGGUGGCCCUGGAAAGGGACCUGAAAACUACACAGCCCUGAUGAUCAGCUUCUGAGGAGACCCCUCUGGGGGAAAAGCCCCCUCCUCUUUCCCAGAGCUGACUGGAAGGUCUGUCCCAUUCCACAAACUGCAUUUGUUACAGGAAGGGACCAAGUGGGGGAAAAAAAAAACA